rnacentral:rRNA from 1 species
UACGAAGGGUGCUAGCGUUGUUCGGAAUCACUGGGCGUAAAGCGCGCGUAGGCGGCUUUUCAAGUCAGGGGUGAAAUCCCACAGCUUAACUGUGGAACUGCCUUUGAAACUGUAAAGCUAGAGUGUCGGAGGGGAUAGCGGAAUUGCUAAUGUAGAGGUGAAAUUCGUAGAUAUUAGCAGGAACACCGGUGGCGAAGGCGGCUAUCUGGACGACAACUGACGCUGAGGCGCGAAAGUGUGGGGGAUCAAAACAGGG